rnacentral:rRNA from 1 species
AGUGAACGCUGGCGGUAGGCCUAACACAUGCAAGUCGAGCGGCAGCACAUUAUCGGAUUCUUCUGAGGGGCGUCGGGUUGCGGAAGGCGUGUGAAACCUGCGUAUUUUACUUUUUCGUGGUGUCGAACGGAGGAAAACUACCCCAAAUACUGUUUACUACCAUCGGUUGAAAUUGAGGGCUUUUGCGACUUUCGACGAUUGGAUGCCGGAUUAGCUAGUUGGUGGGGUGACGGAUCACCAGCGCGAUGAUCCGUCGCUGGGCUGAGAGGAUGAUAGGCCACACUGGACCUGUGACACGGUCCAGACUACUACGGGAGGCAGCAGUGGGGAAUAUUGGACAAUGGGCGCAAGCCUGAUCCAGCCAUACCGCGUGGGUGAAAAAGGCCUUCGGGUUGUAAAGCUCUUUUGUUGGGAAAGAAAAGCAGCAGGUUAAUACCCAGCGGUUCUGACGGUACUCAAAGAAUAAGCACCGGCUAACUUCGUG